rnacentral:rRNA from 1 species
AUUGAACGCUGGCGGCAGGCCUAACACAUGCAAGUCGAGCGCGCGGCGGACGGGUGAGUAAUGUCUGGGCAACUGCCUGAUGGAGGGGGAUAUCCCCAGGAAACGGUAGAUAAUAUCGCAUAUCCUCUGAUGUGCCCACAUGGGAUUAGCGAGUAGGUGGGGUAACGGCUCACCUAGGCGACGCUCCCUAGCUGGUCUGAGAGGAUGACCAGCCACACUGGAACUGAGACACGGUCCAGACUCCUACGGGAGGCAGCAGUGGGGAAUAUUGCACAAUGGGCGCAAGCCUGAUGCAGCCAUGCCGCGUGUGUGAAGAAGGCCUUCGGGUUGUAAAGCACUUUCAGCGGGGAGGCGUUACCCGCAGAAGAAGCACCGGCUAACUCCGUGCCAGCAGCCGCGGUAAUUC